CCUCACUACACCAUCAUGUGUCCUCCAGCUGACCAUCUCGAUGCUUUUGAUCGCAUAACUCGAUCCAAUUGAUAGAUAAAUAGUACCCUCAUUGCUCUCUAGAGAGUUAAACUGCUCCUCUCUGUAACAUAUAUGAUAGGUGCAUGCAGAAUCUAAAAUUCACUACUGAAAAAAAAUAGAUACCUGAUCAGAUAACUUCAGG
rnacentral:lncRNA from 1 species